CACAACGAAAAUAUGAAGGCUUUGGCUUCGCGGGCCGGCUGAAAUAUUUUUUCACCCAUGUCUUUUGCGCACUUGUUUGUUUCCUGGGCGGGUUCGCCCGCCACCAGGACCAAACCAUAAACCUUUUUUUUAAUGCAGUUGCAAUCAGCGUCAGUAAAAAAUAAUGUAAUUAUUAC
rnacentral:misc_RNA from 1 species